AUUGAACGCUGGCGGCAUGCCUUACACAUGCAAGUCGAACGGCAGCGGGGGAGAAGCUUGCUUUUCCUGCCGGCGAGUGGCGAACGGGUGAGUAAUACAUCGGAACGUGCCCUGUAGUGGGGGAUAACUAGUCGAAAGAUUAGCUGAUACCGCAUACGACCUGAGGGUGAAAGUGGGGGACCGCAAGGCCUCAUGCUAUAGGAGCGGCCGAUGUCUGAUUAGCUAGUUGGUGGGGUAAAGGCCUACCAAGGCGACGAUCAGUAGCUGGUCUGAGAGGACGAUCAGGCACGCUGGGACUGGGACACGGCCCAGAGUCCUACGGGAGGCAGCAGUGGGGAAUUUUGGACAAUGGGCGAAAGCCUGAUCCAGCAAUGCCGCGUGUGUGAAGAAGGCCUUCGGGUUGUAAAGCACUUUUGUCCGGAAAGAAAUGGCUCUGGUUAAUACCUGGGGUCGAUGACGGUACCGGAAGAAUAAGGACCGGCUAACUACGUGCCAGCCGCCGCGGUAA
rnacentral:rRNA from 1 species